GACCUCGUAGCUCAGUUGGUAGAGCAUUGGACUAGCAAACCGGAUGUAGAGGGUUCGAUUCCCACCGCGGUCA